rnacentral:rRNA from 1 species
AGUGAACGCUGGCGGUAGGCCUAACACAUGCAAGUCGAACGGCAGCACAGUAAGAGCUUGCUCUUACGGGUGGCGAGUGGCGGACGGGUGAGGAAUACAUCGGAAUCUACUUUUUCGUGGGGGAUAACGUAGGGAAACUUACGCUAAUACCGCAUACGACCUACGGGUGAAAGCAUGGGAUCUUCGGACCUUGCGCGAUUGAAUGAGCCGAUGUCGGAUUAGCUAGUUGGCGGGGUAAAGGCCCACCACGGCGACGAUCCGUAGCUGGUCUGAGAGGAUGAUCAGCCACACUGGAACUGAGACACGGUACAGACUCCUACGGGAGGCAGCAGUGGGGAAUAUUGGACAAUGGGAGCAAGCCUGAUCCAGCCAUACCGCGUGGGUGAAGAAGGCCUUCGGGUUGUAAAGCCCUUUUGUUGGGAAAGAAAAGCAGCAGGUUAAUACCCCGCUGUUCUGACGGUAACCAAAGAAUAAGCACCGGCUAACUUCGUG